CUGCCAGUAGUCAUAUGCUUGUCUCAAAGAUUAAGCCAUGCAUGUGUAAGUAUAAGCAACUUUUGUACUUGUGAAACUGCGAAUGGCUCAUUAAAUCAGUUAUAGUUUAUUUGAUGUUCCCUUUUUUUACUACUUGGAUAACCGUAGUAACAUAGAGCUAAUACAUGCAAAUACUCCUAACCGUAAGGAAAGGAGGCACUUAUUAGAUUACAAACCAAUCCAUGUAAAAGUGGUAUAAGGUGAUUCAUAGUAAGGUUGGAAAUCGUAUGGAGGUAACUCUGACGAUAUAUCAUUCAAAUUUCUGCCCUAUCAACUUUGGAUGGUAGUAUAGAGGACUACCAUGGUGAUAACGGGUAACGGAGAAUUAGGGUUCGAUUCCGGAGAGGGAGCCUGAGAAAUGGCUACCACUUCUAAGGAGGGCAGCAGGCGCGCAAAUUACCCAAUCCUAAUACUGGGAGGUAGUGACAAUAAAUAACAAUGCUGAAGUUCAUACUUUGGUAAUUGGAAUGA
rnacentral:rRNA from 1 species